UAAAAUGGUGAUCAAAAAUCUAAAAAAAAAAUCGGAACAUCUUUCACAUCUUUAUAGUUUCUAUACCAAGAGAUCUACUUUGAAUGGUCAUCCUCGGAUGAGUAAUUGAGAAAGAUUGCUCUAAAAUUAAGACUUCUACUUCUGCCGCUCCGUCCAGGGUCCAAAGCAAACCAAAACUAAGGACAGUCAAAGUGGAUGAUGUUGGGAUAAUGUUCUUCUGAUUAUGCAAACGCACUUCAAUGUCAAGUGAGUCAAGCCUGUGUAUAACAUUUUUCUCAAGAAAAUGAAAGAAUAUCAAAAGGAAAAGGAAAAGGAAAAGAGAAAAAUGAGGAGCUAGUAUAUGUUUUUUGCCACCUUUCAUCCCUGGAUGCAAAGUAUCAAACAUUGUGCCAGCAUACAUCAAACCAAGAAAAGAAUAUUUUCAUCUUCUUAACAAUAGAAUAUUGGGGUUUCCAUCUCCAUUGUGAAGUCUGCAGCAGCUAUUUGCCUUUCCCGUAAUUGUUUACAGAAAGAGAGAUGAUUUGGUCACAUGUUUUUGGCUAGGAAAAGAAGCAAAAGAGAAAACGGAUAAGGCUAAAAUGCUAUGGAAACAAAGCAACUUCAAUAACAAAUCCAGCUCUACACGUCCUUGGGGAUAUAAUUCAUACCCUUAGAAAGGCUCUUGACUUAUGAGACCACAAAUUUGGCAAUGUGAAAUGACAAAAUCAA